UACGUAGGGCGCGAGCGUUGUCCGGAAUUAUUGGGCGUAAAGAGCUCGUAGGCGGCUUGUUGCGUCUGCUGUGAAAUCCCGGGGCUUAACCCCGGGCGUGCAGUGGAUACGGGCAGGCUGGAGGCAGGCAGGGGAGAGUGGAAUUCCCGGUGUAGCGGUGAAAUGCGCAGAUAUCGGGAGGAACACCGGUGGCGAAGGCGGUUCUCUGGGCCUGUUCUGACGCUGAGGAGCGAAAGCGUGGGGAGCGAACAGG
rnacentral:rRNA from 1 species